rnacentral:lncRNA from 1 species
GACGAGGCGAACAAAUUGUCCGACCACGACCACAAAAACCUUACACCCCGUUCGUCGAUUGGCCCCGACGAACGCGUCAGCCGUCUUAAAAAAACACAAAUUAAUCACUCUUUUGAUCUCCGAACGUUCAACACAAGGACGAAAGCGCGCUACAAAAAAAAUCCAAAAUUUUGGUGUAGCACUUCCAGUUGGCUUAAAAAUUGUCUCUGGAAAGACUCUCGAUUCAUACCAUACAAGUCAUAUAAGCCGAGAACCUAUCGCGGACUUUAAAUCGGUACGAAUCAUGUAGAAAUCCCAACAGGAAAAUCGAUAGCCAGAUAGUCACCGCACAAACCUUAAAACCGAGAGUAAACCUAGGUCUUGCCCUAAACCCAUCGCAUUGGUCUCAGACAUCUCAAGACAUGAUAUCUAAACGAUACGAGAUCCUAAACCAUGUCUCUCCAUUCACAUCUCAACGUUCCCGAAAGUUGUAAGAAUAAGAAAUUUUUACGAAAAGUCACGAACGAACCGACAGAUUGAAC